CCAACCGUGGAGGGUCCAUUUGGAAACUGGAAAACUUGAGUUGCAGAAGAGGAAAGUGGAAUUUCCAUGUGUAGCGGUGAAAUGCGCAGAGAUAUGGAGGAACACCAGUGGCGAAGGCGACUUUCUGGUCUGUAACUGACGCUGAUGUGCGAAAGCGUGGGGAUCAAACAGGAUUAGAUACCCUGGUAGUCCACGCCGUAAACGAUGAGUGCUAAGUGUUAGGGGGUUUCCGCCCCUUAGUGCUGCAGCUAACGCAUUAAGCACUCCGCCUGGGGAGUACGACCGCAAGGUUGAAACUCANAGGAAUUGACGGGGACCCGCACAAGCGGUGGAGCAUGUGGUUUAAUUCGAAGCAACGCGAAGAACCUUACCAAAUCUUGACAUCCUUUGACAACUCUAGAGAUANAGCCUUCCCCUUCGGGGGACAAAGUGACAGGUGGUGCAUGGUUGUCGU
rnacentral:rRNA from 2 species